GAUGAAGAACGUAGCGAAAUGCGAUAAGUAAUGCGAAUUGCAGAAUCCGUGAGUCAUCGAAUCUUUGAACGCACAUUGCGCCCCUUGGUAUUCCAUGGGGCAUGCCUGUUCGAGCGUCAUUUGUACAUUCAAGCCUUGUUUGGUGUUGGGCGUCUUGUCCUGCCUUUUGCGCAUGGACUCGCCUUAAAUCCAUUGGCAGUCGGCAAUCUGGCGUGGGAGCGCAGCACAUUUUGCGCUCCUCCCCGUGUAUUGCGGCGUCCAUGAAGCCUAUAUUCUAGCGCUUGACCUCGGAUCAGGUAGGGAUACCCGCUGAACUUAAGCAUAUCAAUAAGCGGAGGA
rnacentral:misc_RNA from 1 species